rnacentral:rRNA from 1 species
GACGAACGCUGGCGGCGUGCUUAACACAUGCAAGUGGUGCGACGAACCAGGCUUCGGCCUGGGGCAGAGCCGCGAACGGGUGAGUAACACGUGGGCAACCUGCCCUGUUGAUCGGGACAACCCGGGGAAACCCGGGCUAAUACCGAAUGUGGUGCCGGCUCAUGAGAGCCGUCCCGAAAGGAAUCUUCGGCCUCCGCGACAGGAUGGGCCCGCGGCCCAUUAGCUUGUUGGUGGGGUAAUGGCCUACCAAGGCAACGAUGGGUAGCUGGUCUGAGAGGACGAUCAGCCACACUGGGACUGAGACACGGCCCAGACUCCUACGGGAGGCUGCAGUGGGGAAUCUUGCGCAAUGAGCGACAGCUUGACGCAGCAACGCCGCGUGGGGGAAGAAGGCUUUCGGGUCGUAAACCCCUUUCAGUUAGGACGAAGCUUUAUUGGUUAAUAACCAAUUGGAGUGACGGUACUUUCAGAAGAAGCCCCGGCUAACUACGUGCCAGCCGCCGGCCGUAA